rnacentral:misc_RNA from 1 species
GAGUUGAAGAAACAAAGCUGCCUGAGGCAGCUGAAAUCAUCAUUAAGGCAGCUUCAAAUUGUUGUGGAAGUAUGUGUAAUAGAUGCUGUUGUAUGUGCUGCAUCCAGUGUUGCUCCAAGAUGAAUGACCAAUGUGCAAUAGCAUUAAUGCAGCUCUGCACUGCUCUUGCGUGUUUUGGCUGCCUAGAGUGUUGUUCACAACUGUGUUGCUGUGGAAACGAAGGGAGCUAACAACUUGAUCUCAAAUAUUUUUAUUAAGCAGUGUAUAUUUGGCGGUGUAUAUUUGAUAUAUACGGUAUAUGGUAGAGAUUUGUUUAAAGCAUUCAUUCUUCCCCCCAAACGGCUUCUUGUACUCCAUUGUAAGUGUUUGAUAACUGUUACUGCUCAGUCCUAUUGUUAUGUAGGGAUGGCU